GUGGGGAAUAUUGGACAAUGGGCGAAAGCCUGAUCCAGCCAUGCCGCGUGUGUGAAGAAGGUCUUCGGAUUGUAAAGCACUUUAAGUUGGGAGGAAGGGCAGUAAGCUAAUACCUUGCUGUUUUGACGUUACCGACAGAAUAAGCACCGGCUAACUUCGUGCCAGCAGCCGCGGUAAUACGAAGGGUGCAAGCGUUAAUCGGAAUUACUGGGCGUAAAGCGCGCGUAGGUGGUUUUGUAAGUUGGAGGUGAAAUCCCCGGGCUCAACCUGGGAACUGCCUCCAAAACUGCAUGACUAGAGUACGGUAGAGGGUAGUGGAAUUUCCUGUGUAGCGGUGAAAUGCGUAGAUAUAGGAAGGAACACCAGUGGCGAAGGCGACUACCUGGACUGAUACUGACACUGAGGUGCGAAAGCGUGGGGAGCAAACAGGAUUAGAUACCCCUGUAGUCC
rnacentral:rRNA from 1 species